rnacentral:rRNA from 1 species
CACGUAGGGCGCAAGCGUUGUCCGGAAUUAUUGGGCGUAAAGAGCUCGUAGGCGCACUGUCACGUCCGCUGUGAAAAGCUAGGGCUUAACCCUGGCCUUGCAGUGGAUACGGGCAGACUAGAGGUAGGUAGGGGAGAAUGGAAUUCCCGGUGUAGCGGUGAAAUGCGCAGAUAUCGGGAGGAACACCGGUGGCGAAGGCGGUUCUCUGGGACGGUACUGACGCUGAGACGCGAAAGCGUGGGGAGCGAACAGG